UUACAUAUCUCUUGGCUUCUCUGAGAACCAGAUUGUCACCACUUAAAGUGUCUUCCAGAGUCCUCACGAGUAUCAGAGAAGGCAUAAUCUGUACACGUGGCUUCAUUUAAAAUGAAAAUAUCAAGCAGUGUCAUUUUCACAAGUAUCCCCACACUGUCUGAGGCUGAAAAGAAGAGUGUAGCUAUGCACACUGCAGUGAGAAGAAAAUUUCAGCUCAAUUGGAGGAUGUAAAGGUACAAAUUGAAAUACCACUGCUCCUAGUUCUGAUGCAAAAUUGAAAAGAGUGCACUGGGUCUUCAAAUGGCAUAUUGACAAGGAGAAAGAGGAAAGGAUGCCCCAGGACAGCCUGGGGGUCAAGGCUGGGCUCAGGCAUGCCUGGACAAGCCAUGCAAGUUGUCUCCGGACUUGAACCACGUAUCAGAGGAGCUAUUUGAGGAGCCACAUCAGCAUACCUGCUUCUGUGGGCCCCCAGGCUGUGGUGCUCAGCCCUUGCACUAUGAAACAUUUUUUUUUUCCAGAAGCCAAAGCUUUGAGCAUCUCCUCCCAUGUAGAGAGUGUAUAUGUUUACGUCCAUGUCUUUCGCCAUGUGAACG
rnacentral:lncRNA from 1 species